rnacentral:tRNA from 1 species
UCCCUGAUGGUCCAGUGGCUAAGACUCUGAGCUCCCAAUGCAGAGGUCCCAGGUUCCAUCCUUGGUCAGGAAA